rnacentral:tRNA from 1 species
UGGCUCACUUGGUAGAGCAUGGUGUUUGCAACGCCAGGGUUGUGGGUUCGAUUCCCAU